CCUAGGGCCGGAGGGUGGGGCAAGGCAGGUGGAAGGAGGCCUUGCCUGAUGGAGUCUCUCCCCUCACAGUUCUUCCUCCAGGUACAGCUUCCUUAUGAGGAGACCCAGGGCCGGAGGGUGGGGCAAGGCAGGUGGAAGGAGGCCUUGCCUGAUGGAGUCUCUCCCCUCACAGCUCAGGCGGUGGAGGCACCAGUGGCAGAGGCACAGGUGGUAGAGAUUCAGGCGGCGGAGGCACCAGCAUCAGUGGCAGAGGCGCAGGUGGUAGAGGCUCAGGAGGCGGAGGCACCAGCGUCAGUGGCAGAGGCUCAGGCGGCGGAGGCACCAGCGGCAGAGAGGCAGGUGGUAGAGAUUCAGGUGGCAGAGGCACCAGCGUCAGUGGCAGAGGCGCAGGUGGUAGAGGCUCAGGCGGCGGAGGCACCAGCGUCAGUGGCAGAGGCUCAGGCGGCGGAGGCACCAGCGGCAGAGAGGCAGGUGGUAGAGAUUCAGGCGGCAGAGGCACCAGCGGCAGUGGCAGAGGCGCAGGUGGUAGAGGCUCAGGCGGCGGAGGCACCAGCGUCAGUGGCAGAGGCUCAGGUGGCGGAGGCACCAGCGGCAGAGACGCAGGUGGUAGAGAUUCAGGCGGCAGAGGCACCAGCGGCAGUGGCAGAGACGCAGAUGGUAGAGGCUUACGUGGUGGAGGCACCAUUGGCGCGUGUUUCAAUCGAUACAAAUAAUAGACAAAAUGGACUGUUUUAAGAAGUGGCAGAGAGUAUCUCUAAGUUUGUCUGGCAGGGCAAGAGGCCCAGGAUAAAAUUUAAAAUAUUGACUGAUGCUAAAGAAAGAGGGCGAUUUGACCUGCCAGACUUUAAACUUUAUUAUGAAUCAGCAGCUUUCUGCUGGUUGAAGGAUUGGUUACUUCUGGAAAAUACUGAUGUUUUGGACUUAGAAGGUUUCAAUAAUGUGUUUGGGUGGCAUGCAUAUUUGUGGUAUGACAAGGUUAAAGCUCACAAAAUAUUUAAAAACCAUAUUGUCAGGAAAGCAUUGUUCAAUGUCUGGACAAGAUAUAAAGACUUAUUGGAGAAUAAAACCCCAAGGUGGCUAUCACCAAUGGAGGCAAAGGCCCUAAAAAGUCCAAUAUGGAGGCCAAGUGGCCAAAAUAUUGGGAGAUCUUGGAACAAGAAGGAGAUAAAUUCAAAUUGCAGAGUUUUGAAAAAUUAAAAGAUAGAGUGCGAGACUGGUUGCAUUACUACCAAAUAAGAGAGGUUUUUAAUUUGGAUAGAAAAAUUGGCUUCCAGGUGGAAAAAUCAAAGUUGGAAACAGAACUGUUAGAUCCCAAAACUAAAACACUUUCAAGAAUGUAUAACUUGCUGCUAAAAUGGAAUACUCAGGAUGAAACGGUAAAAUCUGCUAUGAUUAAAUGGGCACAGGAUGUUGGACAUAACAUUAUGUUUGCUGACUGGGAACGGUUAUGGACCACAGGUACGAAGUUUACAGCAUGUAAUGCUUUAAAAGAGAAUAUAAUGAAAAUGGUGUACAGGUGGUACAUGACCCCAGUCAAGCUUGCAAAAUCUACCACUUGCCCGAUAAUAAAUGUUGGAAAUGUAAGGAAACUGAAGGUACAUUCUUUCACCUUUGGUGGACGUGCCCAAAGAUCAAGGCCUUCUGGGAAAGGAUAUAUAAUGAGUUGAAAAAGGUAUUUAAGUAUACCUUUCUAAAGAAACCAGAGGCCUUUCUCUUGGGCAUUGUUUGCCAAUUGGUGCUAAAGAAAGACAGAACUUUCUUUAUGUAUGCAACAGCAGCAGCAAGGAUACUCAUCGCAAAGUAUUGGAAGACACAAGAUUUACCCACUCUGGAAGAAUGGCAGAUGAAGGUAAUUGAAUAUAUGGAACUGGCGGAGAUGACUGGCAGAAUCCGUGACCAGGGAGAAGAGUCGGUGGAAGAAGAUUGGAAGAAAUUUAAAGACUAUCUACAGAAAUACUAUAAAAUUAAUGAAUGUUAAAUUGAGGUCUGAUUGAAAAUAACUGGUAUUGGCAAAAGCCUUGUGAUUAAGAGCAUGGAAUAUUUGAUUGAUAAAGUUGUAAUAUUUAUAUAUAAAUAGAUUAACUUUUUUGAGUUAAGAUAAAGAAAGGAGGGUAAGGAUUUGCUGAAAGGAGUUCUUAAAUGGAAAUACAAGCGGGGAGAUGUGGGAAGUCAAAGAAUUAGGUAAUGAUAAGAAGGUUAAAUGAAAGUAUAAUACUUUUUAAAUUUUUCUGUUUCUUUUCUUUUUUUCUUUUUCUUUUUGUUAUGGAAAUUGUUAUCUUUGUUUGCUUUUUGUUAUUGUUAUCGUUGUUUUUUGUUUGUCGAAUUUUUGUAUUUUUGCAUCUUUUGGAAUUUCUUUUGUAAAACCAAUAAAUAUUAUAUUAAAAAAAAAAAAAAAGGCUGUGUGCUGCCUGAUGUGAUGAAAAAAAAAAAAAAAAAAAGCAGAGGCGCGGGGGGUAGAGGCUUACGUGGCGGAGGCACCAGCGUCAGUGGCAGAGGCUCAGGCGGCGGAGGCACCAGCGGCAGAGACACAGGUGGUAGAGGUUCAGGCGGCAGAGGCACCAUCGGCAGGGGCAGAGGCGCAGGUGGUAGAGGCUUACGCGGCGGAGGCACCAUCGACAGUGGCAGAGGCACAGGUGGUAGAGGCUCAGGCAGCGGAGGCACCAGCGGCAGAGACGCAGGUGGUAGAGAUUCAGGCGGCAGAGGCACCAGCGGCAGCAGCAGAGGCGCAGGUGGUAGAGGCUUACGUGGCGGAGGCACCAGCAGCAGGGGCAGAGGUGCAGGUGGUAGAGGCUCAGGCGGCAGAGUCACCAGCAUCAGUGGCAGAGGCUCAGGUGGCGGAGGCACCAGCGGCAGAGACACAGGUGGUAGAGAUUCAGGCGGCAGAGGCACCAUCGGCAGGGGCAGAGGCGCAGGUGGUAGAGGCUCAGGCGACGGAGGCACCAGCGACAGCGUCAGAGGCUCAGGAGGCAGAGGCACCAGUGACAGCGGCAGUGGUGCAAAUGGUAGAGGCUCAUCAUCAUCACCAUCAUCAUUUUUAAUUUGUAUAUCACCUUUCUAUCUUACAAUACUCAAGGCGGUUUACACGCUGAUGGAGUCUCUCCCCUCACAGUUCUUCCUCCAGGCACAGCUUCCUUAUGAGGAGACCCAGGGCCGGAGGGUGGGGCAAGGCAGGUGGACGGCCUUGCCUGAUGGAGUCUCUCCCCUGAGGGACAAUUCAAAGUGUCAGUGCUGACCUUUAAAGCCUUAAAUAGCACCGGCCCUGUAUAUCUGAAGGGGUGUCUCUACCCCAAUCAUUGUCCAGACACUGAGAUCCAGCACUGAGGGC
rnacentral:lncRNA from 1 species